AUACGGAGGAUCCGAGCGUUAUCCGGAUUUAUUGGGUUUAAAGGGUGCGCAGGCGGCCAUUUAAGUCAGCGGUUAAAUCGUGGGGCUCAACCCCAUUCUGCCGUUGAUACUGGGUGGCUUGAUUGCGGUCGAGGUUGGCGGAAUUCGUUGUGUAGCGGUGAAAUGCAUAGAUAUGACGAAGAACACCGAUUGCGUAGGCAGCUGACCAGACCGCAAAUGACGCUCAUGCUCGAAAGUGCGGGGAUCGAACAGGAUUAGAUACCCUGGUAGUCCGCACAGUAAACGAUGAAUACUUGUUUUCGGCGAUAUAAUGUCGGAGGCAAAGCGAAAGCGAUAAGUAUUCCACCUGGGGAGUACGCCGGCAACGGUGAAACUCAAAUGAAUUGACGGGG
rnacentral:rRNA from 1 species